GUGCGCGCUUCGGCAGCACAUAUACUAAAUUGGAACAAUACAGAGAAGAUUAGCCUGGCCCUGCGCAAGGAUGACACGGAAACAAGGUGGAUAUUCAU
rnacentral:snRNA from 1 species